UACAGAGGUCCCAAGCGUUGUUCGGAUUCACUGGGCGUAAAGGGUGCGUAGGUGGCUGGGUAAGUCUGAUGUGAAAUCUCCGAGCUUAACUCUGAAACUGCAUCGGAUACUAUUCGGCUGGAGGGUUGGAGGGGGGACUGGAAUUCUCGGUGUAGCAGUGAAAUGCGUAGAUAUCGAGAGGAACACCAGUGGCGAAGGCGAGUCCCUGGACAACUCCUGACACUGAGGCACGAAAGCUAGGGGAGCAAACAGG
rnacentral:rRNA from 1 species